rnacentral:lncRNA from 1 species
UUGAGAUUCACUUCCAUUUAAAGAAAAAUACUUUCUUUUCCAGCAAAGAAUUGCUGCUCUGCAUUUAUUUAAAUUGGUUCAUGAUUUCAUUUCCAUCCUCUUUUCUACUGCUCAAGUGGGAGAAAUCUAGUGAAAGCGUAAUCUAAGGACUAAUGAGCAAACUGCUAAGUGCUGGUUUAGUGAAAGUUGAUUUUUCAGUAUUUCACUGGUUGGAAAAAGUGCACUUUUAAAGAUUUUUACCAAGUGUAUCACUAAUAUUGUGUCAGCUAUUUUCCAGUGAUCUGGAUAUGGCCAGAAGAUUGAAGUUGCAAGGGAAGAGGACGUAACUGAAAUCCUAAACACUCUUCGAGGCCAUUUCCCACCACUCAACAUGCACGGAACUAGAGAGUAUUAUGCUCAGUGAAAUAAGUCAAUCAGAAAAGGACAAUUACCAUAUGCUCUCACUCACAUGUGGAAUUUAAGAAACAAAACAGAGGAUCAUAGAGGAAGAGAGAAGAAAAUAAAAGAAGAUGAAAUCAAAGAGGGAUACAAAAUAGAAUUAGAUUUGUUUGUUUCAUGGAAUUUUUCUAGAACUUCUCUAUAAAACAACGUGACAAUCUGAUAAAUGCAUAUAUUGCCAAAUGAUUACCACAAUAAGAAUCAUGGACCUGUCUUCUGAGAUCAUUGAUUAUCUCACAAAAGUUCUUCAGCAAGUCCCUUGAUGUAGACUUAUUUAUGGCAAUCUCUUUAUAUAUAAAUAAAAUAUGUAUUUCAUCUGAAAAUAUGUUUAGUCUGUCUUCCCUUUUGAUUUUUUUUUUUCAGGAAUACAGAAGUUGAAGGUAGUUUUCUCCUAGCCCUUCAAAUGUAUUAUUCCCUGC